AGCAUAGAUACACAUUGAAGAAAAAACAUUUCGAUCCAGUGAAAACUCCAGAACAGAACUUUGCCAAUCUGCCUGAUGGAGUCUCCUCUAAGAGUUGGUCGGAUUUGGUUACAUAUUGGUUUACACCAAAGGCCAUGGAAAAAUCUGAACUGGGAAAAAAUGCUCGAGCAUUACAAGACCGUAGUCACAAGAGUGGUGCUACAAGCUUUGCUAAUCGAAGAGCUGAUUUGAAAAAGAAAGGGGAGUUUAGCGAAUUGGCAUUUUACAAAUCAGUUUAUGCCAAAGAUGGAAGCUUUGAAGAGGGCACACCCUCUCAUCAAUUUAUG